CCCCCCACUCAAGUAUCCUUUUUGGGAUGUUUGGAUUGCUUUGGAGAGGCGACUUUCUAUUGGAGUCGGUCGCCCUUCAGAAAUUCAUAGGCAGUAUGGUUUGCACCUGAACCAGACGUAAUAAUAAUAAAAUCGUUUGUUUAGGUAUAAUUAAUUGUACUUGCCCCAACCCACCCAUUUUUACUUU
rnacentral:misc_RNA from 1 species